UACACUCACGACUGUAAGCUGCUCUGGAUAAGAGUGUCUGCUAAAUGACGUAAA
rfam:Salmo salar isolate Sally breed double haploid chromosome ssa20, whole genome shotgun sequence.